rnacentral:lncRNA from 1 species
AAUAUACUUUGUGCUGACAAGAGUUAAUAUAUAUAACACAAAAACAAAAAAAAAUAUCUGCUGUUGCAAAGUUAAAUGUCACAGAAAGUUUAGCACAGCCUUGGCUCUCCUGACUAAAAUGUAUUUGCUUAUGUUGUUCGAAAGCAAGUAUAAUUGUAUUUUAUUUAUGCAUGUAUUUUUUGUUUCAGGGAUGCUACCUAGUUCGUUUAGAGUAAACGGCUGAGAAAUCUGAAUCUCUUGCAAGAUGGAAAAACUGAAGUUCUUUCUCAGAAAAAAAGCCAAUGAGAACACAAAUAAAGUUGCAGUUUUACGAGCAGAGUCUCAAGAAAGCAACUCGCCGACUCUGCAGGAGACAUGUGACCCUCCGGCCAGAGUGAGGGGUGCGUGCUCCCCACCUUUACACUUACUAAACGUCUCGCCUCUUGUUUCUUCAUUGCUUCAACAUCUAAACGAAGAGCAGUGGAAUAAAGUUCAGGAAAGCAUGCACAGCUCUGUAAGUUUUCUGUAAUUUAUUCUUUUAUUACUGUAUGUUAAUUUUCAUUUAUGUUUGUAGACUUCAAUGUAUUGCAGUUGAAUUUUGAUGAAGUCAUUCCUAACAUUGUUUACCCUAUGGCAUUUGAAAAUAACUUUUUCUGAAGCUUUAUUUUUAAAAUGCAUUCAUCCCACACCUCCACACUGGAGCACAGGUAAGUCCCUUAAGGACUGGCAUGGAUUUGAAUCCCCAUUUGUUCACACUAGCCAUGUGCAGUGGAAAAGCUGAGGUAUCAGUUCUAAAAUUUCAGAAAAAUGUUGGUAUUUAUUUUUAUUGCAACUUUGGGUCGCAGUGACAUACAGAAUAUGGUAAUAACACAGUUUGUUUUACCACCAACUAAUGCUCAGAAUGCUACUGUAAUUUAAUGUUUUUCACAACUGGGAAAGAAUAUUUGACAUCAUACAUUUUUCAUUUUCAACAUUUUAUGACAAUAUUAAUAGAAUGCAAAAAUCUUAUAAUUUCAGUGUCAUCUGAAUAUAGAAUUUUUAUGAUAUCUCAGAAAUAAUAUUUUCAUAGUAAGGCAUCCCCCAUAUGUUGUGCAUCUUCCUAACUGUCUUUAUGAUAGAUGACAAGAAGUCAAUUUACCAGCCUGUGCUCAGACAUUGCAACAUGGGUGUCAGAAGUUGCCACAAGAAUCACCCUCCCAGCACUUGCCCUAGUACUUGAUAUUACCAUUAUUGACAGCAGUUCUUCCUCAUCCAGGUCAAGGCCAGUAUACCUGGUGUUGAAUUUGAUAUUUAAUGCCUUUUUCUAUAUCAUUUCUAUAACUGUCAAGAUUUGAUCAGUUGAAGGCUGAUUGUGUAUCGCAAUACUAUAUGAAAUGUGUGCACUGAGACAGUGCAGAACUUUUCCUAACUCUAAACUGAAGGCUUUUGAGCAACUUUGUUUUUCAGCUUUUUGAUUCAGAUUGUAUAUGGCUCAGUUUAGAGCAUUUAAAAAUACCAUUGUUGCUUCUCAUUCCUGAACGCAUUGGCUA